rnacentral:misc_RNA from 1 species
AUAAGUCUUGAUGUAUUGCAGCUUAUGCGUUGAAAAAAAGAAGGACAAUAUAUUUUUUCAAGGAACUAACAACUUUCGAACCAGUACCCUUAUGCGCCAUGAGACAUCUGCUGACCACAAGCUUGCCAUACAAGAAACGUCGGAGGCAGCUCAAGCUAAACAGGCUUUUUGCAGAGCUUUAGAAGGUAAAGAUGGAGCAAUCAUGUCAGCAAUGAAGUCCGUGUACUGGCUAGUUCAAGAGGGCAUAGCAAUUCGAAAGUUUGGAAGCCUAAUAGAGUUGCUACGGCACCUGGAUUGCCCCAACCUUUCAUACUUAGACCAAGGAGACAAUGCAAAGUAUAAUUCUGAUACAGCAGGGUGGGAUAUGGUUGCUGCUAUUGCUGCCACAGUUGAGGAAGACUUGCUUCAGAAAAUGAAGUCUUCACCAUUUCUAACAAUACUAGCAGACGAGAGCACUGAUAUAACAGUAACAAAAAAGUUGGUUAUAUGUGUCAGACUUUUAGAUGAUAACUUUGUUCCUUCUACCCACUUUGUAGCCGACAUAAAUGUCACAGAUGGCAAGGGUGCCACAGUUGCAGCAGCUAUCAAAGACCAUCUUAAAUCAAAGGAGAUCCCCCUUAGUAAGAUAUAUGGUUUUGGUUCUGAUGGUGCAGCGAGCAUGACCAGCAUGGGAAAUGGAGUUGCAGGCAGACUGCUUGCUGAAAAUCCUGCGAUGGUUCACAUACACUGUAUUGCCCACAGAUUGGCUUUAUGUACUAGCCAGGCAGCAAAUGCUAUAGACUAUAUGAAGGACUAUCAAUCAACUAUUACCAGUAUAUUUUAUUACUUUAAAGCAUCAUCUGUCAGGGUAAACAGAAUCACAGCUAUUCAGGAGCUGCUGGAUGAACCUAUUUUAAAGUGCAAUGAAGUCCAUGAGGUUCGAUGGUUGCCCUACUACAAAGCAAUAGAAACAAUCUACAGGACUUAUGGGUCAUAAGUGUCCUAUAUGUCUGAAAUGGGGGCAAGUGAUGCCAAGGCAAAAGGUUUUGCAAAGAAACUUUCACAAUUCAGUUUUGUUUUUGUCACCCAUAUGCUUUUGUCCAUCCUCAGCAUUGUCACAGAGCUAUGUUUACUCUUCCAAAAGAAAGAUCUUGACCCAGCCUUGGUGGAUGUUAAUGUGAAGCAUGCAUUGAGAGAACUGCAAAAGCACAGGGACCAUGCCACAAGUAGUGAAGGGUUGUCUGGUAAACCUGGCAGCUACAUCGAGGAAUUUCUCCUGAAGAAUGGGGUAUGCGAGAGAUGCCACCUGCAAACUGUGGAGCAUUAUCAAAACACACCAUAGUGAAGACUUUCUAGGUAGUUAUCCUCAAUGAAAAUGGCACUGUGUGGGGAAGCAUGUAUCUGAAGUGUGUAAAUCAGCAUCUUAUGCACAUUGGAAAAGUAAGAAAAGUGUUUUAUAACAGAACCACUGAAAAAUUAGUAAAUACAUUUUAAAAAAUCAUCAAGAUAAGAUUACUGCAAGUCUCCUCUUUGGUACAUGUGACUAUCAGAUUAAAAAAAUUAAUUACAAGUUAUUCAAAACUCGGCUGCAAAACUGGUUUGUCAAAUAAAGUGCAACAGUGCACAUCAUAUAACUCCCAUUCUGAAAGGAUUACAAUGGCUGCCAUUGAAGCCAUCCAGCUAGCAGUCUCGGUUGUCCCGCUAUGUUCUGGAAGUUUCAGUUGUCCUGCCAUGAUGCUGGCAGUCACA